GGUGGCCUGGCCGGUGGCGGCGGCCUCCUCCUCCCGGGUGGCGCCGAGACCGGGGUCGACGAGUUCGAGGCGCAGGCCCUCG
rnacentral:tRNA from 1 species